rnacentral:rRNA from 1 species
UGCGUAGGCGGUUUGCCAAGUUGGUAGCGUAAUCCCAGGGCUCAACCUUGGAACUACUACCAAAACUGGUAGGCUUGAGUGCGGCAGGGGUAUGUGGAAUUCCUAGUGUAGCGGUGGAAUGCGUAGAUAUUAGGAGGAACACCAGAGGCGAAAGCGACAUACUGGGCCGUAACUGACGCUGAGGCACGAAAGCGUGGGGAGCAAACAG